UACGGGGGGAGCAAGCGUUGUUCGGAUUUACUGGGCGUAAAGGGCGCGUAGGCGGUCAGCACAAGUCAGUUGUGAAAUCUCCGGGCUUAACCCGGAAAGGUCAACUGAUACUGUGCGACUAGAGUGCGGAAGGGGCAACUGGAAUUCUCGGUGUAGCGGUGAAAUGCGUAGAUAUCGAGAGGAACACCUGCGGCGAAGGCGGCUUUCUGGACCGACACUGACGCUGAGGCGCGAAAGCUAGGAGAGCAAACGGG
rnacentral:rRNA from 1 species